GAUGUACUCCCUCCGUCCCAUAUUAAAUGACUUUCGGUUACAUGUAUCUAGACACUUUUUAGGCAUAGAUAUGUAUAUUUAGGCAAAUUUGAGUCACUUAAUAUCGGACGGAGGGAGUACAAG
rnacentral:pre_miRNA from 1 species